CGAGCGGUAACAGAAAGUAGCUUGCUACUUUGCUGACGAGCGGCGGACGGGUGAGUAAUGCUUGGGAACAUGCCUUGAGGUGGGGGACAACAGUUGGAAACGACUGCUAAUACCGCAUAAUGUCUACGGACCAAAGGGGGCUUCGGCUCUCGCCUUUAGAUUGGCCCAAGUGGGAUUAGCUAGUUGGUGAGGUAAUGGCUCACCAAGGCGACGAUCCCUAGCUGGUUUGAGAGGAUGAUCAGCCACACUGGGACUGAGACACGGCCCAGACUCCUACGGGAGGCAGCAGUGGGGAAUAUUGCACAAUGGGCGCAAGCCUGAUGCGGCCAUGCCGCGUGUGUGAAGAAGGCCUUCGGGUUGUAAAGCACUUUCAGUCAGGAGGAAAGGUUAGUAGUUAAUACCUGCUAGCUGUGACG
rnacentral:rRNA from 1 species